AAGAAAGUGGUAGAGUGGUUAUGCGGUUGGCUUGAAACCGACUAAUGGGGGUUCGAUUCCUUCCUUUCUUG
rnacentral:tRNA from 1 species